AUUGAACGCUGGCGGCAUGCCUUACACAUGCAAGUCGAACGGCAGCACGGACUUCGGUCUGGCGGCGAGUGGCGAACGGGUGAGUAAUGUAUCGGAACGUACCAUUCAGUGGGGGAUGACGCAGCGAAAGUUGCGCUAAUACCGCAUAUUCUUUGCGCAGGAAAGCAGGGGAUAGCAAGACCUUGCGCUGAUUGAGCGGCCGAUAUCAGAUUCGCUAGUUGGUGAGGUAAAGGCUCACCAAGGCGACGAGCUGUAGCGGGUAUGAGAGGAUGAUCCGCCACACUGGAACUGAGACACGGUCCAGACUCCUACGGGAGGCAGCAGUGGGGAAUUUUGGACAAUGGGCGCAAGCCUGAUCCGGCCAUGCCGCGUGAGUGAAGAAGGCCUUCGGGUUGUAAAGCUCUUUCGGCCGGGAAGAAAUCGUAUGGGUUAAUACCCUGUGCGGAUGACGGUACCGGCAUAAGAAGCACCGGCUAACUACGUGCCAGCCGCCGCGGUAACAC
rnacentral:rRNA from 1 species